UUUUUUCCUCAAAGAUAUUCA
rnacentral:piRNA from 1 species